UAUAGACUUCUUGAGGUCCUUUUUGGGCCAGAAUGAUUGGAAACAGCAGUUGAUAAGUGUAUCCCACCUGUCAAAAUCAGAUGUGCUGCUUGUUCGCUCUGCCACCAAUGCAGUCUUUCGAAUUCAUCCAAGGAGCAACAAAGAUAAUGACUCACCAAGCUCAUGUCACUCUCAGCAAGUGGCAGUGUUUUGCCAGAAUCUCCAUACUACAGACACAUUUCUUGGAUUUUUACAAUUUGUAAGAGGCUGAAAGUCAUUCGCCUUUUUAGUCAUGCAGAUGAAAAAAUUGUUGAAAGCCAUUUCAUGUCGUUUCAGUAUGGCAUGACCACUCUCAUGCAUGCAGCUUAUAAGGGCAAAGCAGACCUGUGCAGACUGUAGCUGCAGCAUGGAGCUGAUGUCAACUGUAAUGAGCAUGAGUAUGGUUAUACUGGGCUCAUGUUCACUGGCCUCUCAGCUUUCUCGGUUCUGACCCCGGCAUUGAUGGGCCAGAUGGUGCCUAUGGACAUGGAGUACUGUGCUACAUGUGGAGAGAGGGGUGCUGACAAGAAGUGCUCCUUCUGUAAAAUGGUGGUCUACUGUGGGAAGACGUGUCAGAGGCUGCACUGGUUCACCCAUAAGAGGCAGUGCAAAAACCCCUGUGCCACAGAGAGAUGCUCAACUCAACCGCCAACCCAAACAAAGGGAACUCUCUAGCAAUGCUGAUGACAGUGAUGUAGUGAACGCCGCCGGCUCCAUGCUGGCUCUUUGUCUGGGGUUGUCAAGAGUGUGCACUUCAGCACAGUCCUUCUGAUGACUACUGUGAAACCUCCGAGGACUGUGAAGAUCCUCCUCAUGCUGGAAAGGAUUGAGAAACAGAAAUGUUUUGGUUGUUUUUUUUCUUUGUACAGUUGAAUUCCCCUGGGAAUACAGUUCAGCCUCAGCGUGCUGUGCUGUGAUUGGUGCUCUGCAUUUUAUAGGAAACUGUUAACCAUGAUACAGAAGUGUUGGAUUGUAUACUUAUUCUCAGCUGUGUAAGAACCACACAGAAAACUGGAUAUGUAGAAAACAUGACAAACUUCUGACCAAUGGACAUCCUAUUUUGACUGUGGGCAACUGUUGACAUAGAGAAAAACUUUGAGAUUUUUUCUCUUCCACUUAAAAGGAAUCAUUUACCCCAAAAAUUCUAAUUUCCUGAAAAUGUACUCACUCUCAGGCCAUCUGUGAUGUAGAUUUUUUUUCUUCAUGUGGACCAAUUUAAAGAAAUUUAGCAUUAGAUCAAUUGCUUACCAGUGGAUCAUCUACAGUGAAUGGGUGCCGUCCCAAAAGAGUCCAAACAGCUAAAGGCAGAGUUUAAUAUUUUUGCCUGGGGGGAGAUACGUGCUGGCAGACCACAUUUACAUACCAUAUAUACCAUUUUCUCCACUCUUUUAGGUUAUGGGUUAAUUAAAAAAAACAACGAACAUCCAUUUUGUCCAUUUUGCAUUUCUCUGCAGACUAAAGCGGGAACACAACGAGAAGAGAGUCCACUCACGCAAUACUCUGAGAUUUGCAAAGUCACGAGAGAAUAGAUCUUAUGUUUAAAAACAUCGGUUAAAAAUAAUUUAGCCCAAAUGUACUCAUUCUGCUCACUAAAAUAAAGUAAUAAACUAAUAAAAUGUUUACUGAUAUUUUUUUAUUCACUGAAUACUGAAAUUUCUUUUUUAUUUGUAUCUUUCAUUCAACUGGCUCUGGUCAAAAAAAUCACAAAAUAGCUGAUGAAACAAUCCACAAAUAAUCCACAACUCCAGUCCAUCAAUUCAAUCCAUUUUGUGAAGUGAGAAGAUAUGUUUGUUUCAGUGAAAAAAUCAUCUCAUCUGAAUCAGGAGAGACAUAAGUAAUGAUCAAGCACCAUUUACAAGUGAAAACUAAACUAAAAUAGUACUAAACAAAUAAAUUGGUGGAUUUUUAUGUGAAAGGACAAAAGGGGAUGAACUUUUUCACUUGAGAAAGCAUUAUUAUGGAUUAUAGACUGU